UACGUAGGGGGCUAGCGUUGUCCGGAAUCAUUGGGCGUAAAGCGCGUGUAGGCGGCCCGGUAAGUCCGCUGUGAAAGUCCAGGGCUCAACCCUGGGAUGCCGGUGGAUACUGUCGGGCUCGAGUCCGGAAGAGGCGAGUGGAAUUCCUGGUGUAGCGGUGAAAUGCGCAGAUAUCAGGAGGAACACCAGUGGCGAAGGCGACUUCCUGGCCUGUUCUUGACGCUGAGGCGCGAAAGCUAGGGGAGCAAACGGG
rnacentral:rRNA from 1 species